GACGAACCGUGCGAACGUUGUUCGGAAUCACUGGGCUUAAAGGGCGCGUAGGCGGGUUCAAAAGUCAGGGGUGAAAUCCCACGGCUCAACCGUGGAAGUGCCUUUGAUACUGUGAAUCUCGAGGGAGGUAGGGACGUGCGGAACUUCCGGUGGAGCGGUGGAAAUGCGUAGAUAUCGGAAGGAACACCGGUGGCGAAAGCGGCGCGCUGGACCUCUUCUGACGCUGAGGCGCGAAAGCCAGGGGAGCAAACGGGG
rnacentral:rRNA from 1 species